UGGGGAAUUUUGGACAAUGGGCGAAAGCCUGAUCCAGCAAUGCCGCGUGUGUGAAGAAGGCCUUCGGGUUGUAAAGCACUUUUGUCCGGAAAGAAAUCCUUGGCUCUAAUACAGUCGGGGGAUGACGGUACCGGAAGAAUAAGCACCGGCUAACUACGUGCCAGCAGCCGCGGUAAUACGCAGGGUGCAAGCGUUAAUCGGAAUUACUGGGCGUAAAGCGUGCGCAGGCGGUUUGCUAAGACCGAUGUGAAAUCCCCGGGCUCAACUGGGAACUGCAUUGGUGACUGGCAGGCUAGAGUAUGGCAGAGGGGGGUAAAUUCCACGUGUAGCAGUGAAAUGCGUAGAGAUGUGGAGGAAUACCGAUGGCGAAGGCAGCCCCCUGGGCAAUACUGACGCUCAUGCACGAAAGCGUGGGGAGCAAACAGGAUCUAGAUACCCUGGUAGUCCACGCCCUAAACGAUGUCAACUAGUUGUUGGGGAUUCAUUUCCUAGUAACGUAGCUAACGCGUGAAGUUGACCGCCUGGGGAGUACGGUCGCAAGAUUAAAACUCAAAUGAAUUGAC
rnacentral:rRNA from 1 species